rnacentral:SRP_RNA from 1 species
GCCGGGCGCGGUGGCGUGUGCCUGUAGUCACAGCUACUCGGGAGGCUGAGGUGGGAGGAUCGCUUGAGCCCAGGAGUUCUGGGUUGCAGUGCGCUAUGCUGAUCGGGUGUCCGCACUAAGUUCAGCAUCAAUAUGGUGACCUCCCGAGAGCGGGGGACUACCAGGUUGCCUAAGGAGGGGUGAACGGGUCCAGGUCGGAAACGGAGCAGGUCAAAACUCCCGUGCUGAUCAGUAGUGGGAUCGCGCCUGUGAAUAGCCACUGCACUCCAGCCUGGGCAACAUAGCAAGACCCCGUCUCU